GAUGAACGCUGGCGGCGUGCCUAAUACAUGCAAGUCGAACGGACAGGCGAUAAUCGCGGGUUUCUGAUGUUAGGGGCGGACGGGUGAGUAACAGGUGGAUAACCUACCUAUAAGACUUAGAUAAAUUCGGGAAACCGUAGUAAUUACCGGAUAAUAGUUUGAACCGCAUGGGUGAAAAGUUAAGGACGGGCUAGCUGUCACUUAGAGAUGGAUCCGCGCUGCAUUAGCUAGUUGGUAAGGUAACGGCUUACCAAGGCAACGGUGCAUGGACGGCCUGGGAGGGUGGUCGGCCACACUGGAACGGAGACACCGUCCAGACUCCUACGGGAGGCAGCAGUAGACAAUAGUCAGCAGUGGGGGAAAGCCUGACGGAGCAACGCGGCGUGAGUGACGACGGUCUUCGGAUCGUAAAACCCUGUUAUUUGGGAAGAACAUAUGUGUAAGUCGAUGUGCACAUCUUGACGGUACCUGAAGAGAAAGCCCCGGCUAACUACGUG
rnacentral:rRNA from 1 species